AUACUAGUAGCAUAAAUUUAGAGAAAAAAGCUUAGUUUACUAGCCAAAUUUUUUAUCUUGAAUUUUUAAUUAGUGAACGCAUAAUUUUCGUAUAAAUCGCGUAUCCGAAUAAUUAGCAAACCCGUUUUUUAAGACGUAUUUUUCAACAAAUUUAAAAAUUGAGAUACGAAUUUUAUGUGAAUUAUACCCCUACUGAAUUUUUGCCGAAUUUGAAUUAAUUAACUAUAAUA
rnacentral:lncRNA from 1 species